rnacentral:piRNA from 1 species
UCACCUGCAUUGUCAGAUUCAUUGGUGUAU